AACGAACGCUGGCGGCGUGGAUAAGACAUGCAAGUCGGACGGGAUUUUCCGUUGUAGCAAUACGAUGGAAAGUCUAGUGGCGAACGGGUGCUUAACACGUGGGCAACCUGCCAGGAAGUGGGGGAUAGCUCGCCGAAAGGCGAAUUAAUACCGCAUGUGAUUAGAGAGGACAUCCUUUCGAAAUUAAAGUCGGGGCAACCUGACGCUUCUUGUGGGGCCCGCGGCCCAUCAGCUAGUUGGUGAGGUAAUGGCUCACCAAGGCUUUGACGGGUAGCUGGUCUGAGAGGACGACCAGCCACACUGGGACUGAGACACGGCCCAGACACCUACGGGUGGCAGCAGUCGAGAAUUUUUGACAAAGGGGGAAACCCUGAUCGAGCGACGCCGCGUGGAGGAUGAAGGUCUUCGGAUUGUAAACUCCUGUCAUUGGGGAACAAGGUGCAUACGUUAACUGCGUGUGCAUUGAUAGUACCCGAAGAGGAAGAGACGGCUAACUCUGUGCCAGCAGCCGCGGUAACAC
rnacentral:rRNA from 1 species